rnacentral:rRNA from 1 species
UACGUAGGGUGCGAGCGUUAAUCGGAAUUACUGGGCGUAAAGCGUGCGCAGGCGGUUUUGUAAGACAGACGUGAAAUCCCCGGGCUUAACCUGGGAACUGCGUUUGUGACUGCAAGGCUAGAGUAUGGCAGAGGGGGGUAGAAUUCCACGUGUAGCAGUGAAAUGCGUAGAGAUGUGGAGGAAUACCGAUGGCGAAGGCAGCCCCCUGGGUCAAUACUGACGCUCAUGCACGAAAGCGUGGGGAGCAAACAGGAUUAGAUACCCUGGUAGUCCACGCCCUAAACGAUGUCAACUAGGUGUUGGGGGAGGAGACUUCCUUAGUACCGCAGCUAACGCGUGAAGUUGACCGCCUGGGGAGUACGGCCGCAAGGUUGAAACUCA